GAAUGAAAUGGGAAAGGAAGAGGAUAAUUCGAAAUGCGCCCCUCGACGAGGUCAGACAGACCUGGAAACAUGAACCCCGUCGCUUGUCUUGGUCUUCGAGCGAGCGCCGCCACCCUUCCCUUCCCAUCCCGCUGCCGAGCAGCGCCCCAGCCCCCUCGCUCCGUCUCUCGUCUUCCUCCUCGUGCGAGCGCCUCCACCGCAGUGCAAUCGGUGUCCUCCGGGGCAGGGAGCCAAUCAAGCGUCGCGGACGAGUCGGAGACCGUCGAAUGGGCCAUGCAGGACUUCUACGCUUUGCGGAAAGACGUGGAGUUGUCUGUAGACCGUGUCAAUGAAGUCAGGCGGUCUGCUGGACUGGAACUGCUUGAGGAGGAAAUCGCUUCGCUCGAAAAGAAGUCCGGUGACAGUACCUUGUGGGAUGAUCCUUCUAAGGCACAGGAGCUACUUGUUGCUCUGACAGAGGUCAAAGAGAAAGUCAAGAUUCUCAAUGAUUUUAAGUCGCAGGUUGAAGAAGCAGACACCAUUGUGAAGCUUACCGAGGAGUUAGAUUCCAUAGAUACUGGCCUUCUUGAGGAGGCCUCAAAGAUUAUAAAGGCAUUGAAUAAGGCACUAGAUAAUUUUGAGAUGACACUGCUUCUGUCUGGACCUUAUGACAAGGAAGGAGCUGUAAUUACUAUUUCUGCAGGCGCUGGUGGCACUGAUGCCCAGGAUUGGGCUGAUAUGUUACUGAGGAUGUAUGUUAGGUGGGGAGAGAAGCAGCGCUACAAAUCAAGAGUGGUGGAGAAAUCUCCUGGUGAAGAGGCUGGAAUAAAAUCAGCAACCGUUGAAAUAGAAGGGAGAUUUGCCUAUGGGUAUCUCUCUGGGGAGAAAGGGACCCACAGGAUUGUCCGCCAGUCCCCAUUCAAUGCUAAAGGGCUUCGACAGACCAGCUUUGCUGGUGUUGAAGUUAUGCCUCUUUUACCCGAGGAGUCCUUGGACGUAGAAAUUCCUGAAGAGGAUCUGGAGAUAAGUUUUACAAGGGCUGGAGGAAAAGGAGGCCAGAAUGUGAACAAGGUGGAGACGGCUGUUCGCAUGGUCCAUAUUCCCACUGGCAUUGCUGUUCGUUGCUCAGGCACAAGCAUUAGAAGCAAGACGAGUGCUUUACUUACAUGGCUUGGAUUCUCCACCGUGUCCAGCCAUCAAUCUUUGACUCUCUCGGCUCUGCCUCAAAGAAAAGGAUUGAACUUUUGCAGACCAAACUAAUUUUUAACGGCCACUCAAAUUAAAAUGGAGAAUCUGCACGAGAAAAAAAGAAGAGAGGAGUCAGCUAGCUAACAAAAUAAAGGCCCUCAGACGGCUGAAAGCAAAGCUUCUGGUGAUUGCCGAGGAGCAGCGUGCAUCUGAGAUCAAGCAGAUCCGUGGUGACGUGGUGAAGGCAGAGUGGGGGCAACAAAUACGCAACUACGUCUUCCACCCCUAUAAGCUCGUCAAGGAUGUACGGACAGCGUGCGAGACGUCGGACAUCAGUGGUGUCAUGGACGGGGAGCUGGAUCCCUUCAUCAGAGCCUACCUUCAGUACAAACUCUCUGUUGCUGCAGAGGAGCAAAUCGUCAACUGAUGCUAGAUCUACUGUCCAAAUGCAGUUGUAUGAAUUUUGAUGCAAAGUUCAUCGUAUGGCUGCUUCAGCCCUGGUGAAGAUGUGCAGUUGGCAAGAUUUUUUUUCUUUUGGAAGUUUUAUAGUUUUCUGUUGUAACUGGCGAAGGAGCUUUGAUCAGAGCUUGAACUGUAGCAGGGUUGAGCUCAGUAAUUGGACAUCAACAUGGUCAACAAUAUCGACAGAUACUUUUCUGUAGCAUGUAAGUAAAAAAAUGUUUAAAAAUAAUGAGACAAAAUUCCAUUAGUUUUAA